UGCUAGGAUGCAGUCUGUACUGAGUCUCUAG
rnacentral:piRNA from 1 species